UUUCUUUACUUAAGUUUUGAUUUUCUUUAAUUAAAUUCUGAUUUUUCUGGAUCAAUUGUUCUGAAUUUGACCUUAAGAUUUCAUUUUCAGAAUUUAGUUUAUCUUGUAUUUCAUCAUUAGAAUUUCUUUCUUUUGAAAUUUUCAGAUUUAGUUUCUUAAGAUUUUUAUUCUUCACAGCUAAUUUUCUACAUUCACCAUACAAAUCAUGAAAAGCAUUUAAUAAUUCAUCAUAAGAGAAUUCUUCUGGAAAAUCAUUUGAUGUAAGAGUAGAUUCAGUUUUUACCUUGUCUUCUUGUGCCACAAAGCACAAGUUAGUUACCUCUUGUAGUUCCUUGGAGCU
rnacentral:lncRNA from 1 species